rnacentral:rRNA from 3 species
GGACUACUGGGGUUUCUAAUCCCGUUUGCUCCCCUAGCUUUCGCGCCUCAGCGUCAGAAGAGGUCCAGCACGUCGCUUUCGCCACCGGCGUUCCUUCUGAUAUCAACGCAUUUCACCGCUCCACCAGAAGUUCCACAUGCCCCUACCUCCCUCGAGCUUAUCAGUAUCAAGGGCACUUUUCCGGUUAAGCCGAAAGAUUUCACCCCUGACUUGAUAAGCCGCCUACGCGCCCUUUAAGCCCAGUGAUUCCGAACAACGUUCGCUCGGUUCGUCUUACCGCGGCUGCUGGCAC